CGGGCGGAGUCGCGCGAACGGGUGAGUAAUACAUCGGAACGUGCCCUGUAGUGGGGGAUAACUAGUCGAAAGAUUAGCUAAUACCGCAUACGACCUGAGGGUGAAAGUGGGGGACCGCAAGGCCUCAUGCUAUAGGAGCGGCCGAUGUCUGAUUAGCUAGUUGGUGGGGUAAAGGCCUACCAAGGCGACGAUCAGUAGCUGGUCUGAGAGGACGAUCAGCCACACUGGGACUGAGACACGGCCCAGACUCCUACGGGAGGCAGCAGUGGGGAAUUUUGGACAAUGGGCGAAAGCCUGAUCCAGCAAUGCCGCGUGUGUGAAGAAGGCCUUCGGGUUGUAAAGCACUUUUGUCCGGAAAGAAAUGGCUCUGGUUAAUACCCGGAGUUGAUGACGGUACCGGAAGAAUAAGGACCGGCUAACUACGUGCCAGCAGCCGCGGUAAUACGUAGGGUCCAAGCGUUAAUCGGAAUUACUGGGCGUAAAGCGUGCGCAGGCGGUUGUGCAAGACCGAUGUGAAAUCCCCGGGCUUAACCUGGGAAUUGCAUUGGUGACUGCACGGCUAGAGUGUGUCAGAGGGAGGUAGAAUUCCACGUGUAGCAGUGAAAUGCGUAGAGAUGUGGAGGAAUACCGAUGGCGAAGGCAGCCUCCUGGGAUAACACUGACGCUCAUGCACGAAAGCGUGGGGAGCAAACAGGAUUAGAUACCCUGGUAGUCCACGCCCUAAACGAUGUCAACUAGUUGUUGGGGAUUCAUUUCCUUAGUAACGUAGCUAACGCGUGAAGUUGACCGCCUGGGGAGUACGGUCGCAAGAUUAAAACUCAAAGGAAUUGACGGGGACCCGCACAAGCGGUGGAUGAUGUGGAUUAAUUCGAUGCAACGCGAAAAACCUUACCUACCCUUGACAUGCCACUAACGAAGCAGAGAUGCAUUAGGUGCUCGAAAGAGAAAGUGGACACAGGUGCUGCAUGGCUGUCGUCAGCUCGUGUCGUGAGAUGUUGGGUUAAGUCCCGCAACGAGCGCAACCCUUGUCUCUAGUUGCUACGAAAGGGCACUCUAGAGAGACUGCCGGUGACAAACCGGAGGAAGGUGGGGAUGACGUCAAGUCCUCAUGGCCCUUAUGGGUAGGGCUUCACACGUCAUACAAUGGUGCAUACAGAGGGUUGCCAAGCCGCGAGGUGGAGCUAAUCCCAGAAAAUGCAUCGUAGUCCGGAUCGUAGUCUGCAACUCGACUACGUGAAGCUGGAAUCCGACU
rnacentral:rRNA from 1 species